rnacentral:lncRNA from 1 species
GGAACUGCCACCCUGAAAACACAGUGCUGGAGAGAGAUUCCAGGGAGAGACAUAGAGACACAGAAAGAGGUGCCCGAGGAUCUCAGCUGUCCAGCCCCUGUUAUUUGAAUCAUUUCAGCCCUGGCACCAGAGAGAUGAGAGGAGAAACCUGACAAUAUCCCCAGCCUGAGCCAUCACCAGACUCCAUCCUCCUGAGUGCCCCUGAACCAGCAUCACCGCUGAACACUCUGGAAGACCUACAGAAACUGAGAGAAGGUUCUGCAAAGAGCUGUAAGGAUGCACUGAAUAUUUGCCGUUGCGGAUGAGGCUGCUGGAGCAUUGGAGAUCCAUUCAUCAUGCCAAAGUGUAGCUCAGGGAGUCACCUCCAUGGAAAAUGUGUGCUUUCCAAACGUGGCUACCAGGUCGUUGUGGAAUUCCAUCCAGAAGCACCUUGUUCUUCCAUCGCCAUCAUUCUGGACAAGGCAGAAUCCACAUUCCCCAUAUUACUAACUUUAAAGCAGAAAUGUUACGCCUUUGCCUGUAAUUGAAAUUGUAGUCAUUUGAAAAUCAAAUAUUGCUAAAAUUUGAUGUUAGAGGGAUAGAUGAUCAAUAAUUGGGUUGAAAGAAUACUGUCUCUCAUUAAGCAAAAUGAAAAUGUUUUCAGAGAUUUGUGAAAUGUUUUGCUAUGAAGACUUUUCACUGCAAAGCACCCACUUUGUUUAAAGCAAUAAGGCAACGUGCUGGAUGAACGUAAAGAAGUUUUCAACACAGAACUUCACAAUAAAAAUGGUAAGAAAUGCACACAAACCAUGGA